rnacentral:rRNA from 1 species
AUUGAACGCUGGCGGCAUGCUUUACACAUGCAAGUCGAACGGCAGCGCGGGCUUCGGCCUGGCGGCGAGUGGCGAACGGGGGAGUAAUGCAUAGGAACGUGCCCAGUAGUGGGGGAUAGCCUGGCGAAAGCCGGAUUAAUACCGCAUACGACCUGUGGGUGAAAGCGGGGGACCGAAAGGCCUCGCGCUAUUGGAGCGGGGGAUGUCGGAUUACGUAGUUGGUGGGGUAAAGGCUUACCAAGGCGACGAUCCGUAGCUGGUCUGAGAGGACGACCAGCCACACUGGAACUGAGACACAGCCCAGACUCCUACGGGAUGCAACAGUGUAGCAUUUUGAACAAUGGUGACAAGCCGAAUCCACCCAUGCGCCGUGCGGGAAGAAGGCCUUCUGGUUGUAAACCGCUUUUGUUCGGGAACAAAUCCUCUUGGCUAAUACCCCGUGGUUAUAACGGUACCAGAACAAUAAGCACCGGCUAACUACGUG